UAAGUUAACGAUGAUCAUACUAAAUGGAUAUCCAUGGUAAUUCUGGAGCUAAUACAUGCGUCAACCCCGACUCUUCGGAAGGGGUGCAUUCAUUAGUUCGCGAAUCAAUCAGAAGGGCAACCUUCUGUUACAGGUGAUCACAAUGAAACAGCGGAUCUCGUCUUUGAGACUGUUCGUUCGAGUUUCUGACCUAUCAGCUACUGUCGGUAGGGUAUUGGCCUACCGAGGCGGUAACGGGUAACGGGAAAUUAGGGUUCGAUUCCGGAGAGGGAGCCUGAGAAACGGUUACCACAUCUAAGGGUGGCAGCAGGCGCGCAAAUUACCCAAUUCCAAUACGGGGAGGUAGUGACCAGAAAUAGCGGCGUGGGGCAUAUGCUCCACGACUGCAAUGAGCAGAAUGCAAAUUUGUUUGCGAGUAACAAUUGGAGGGCAAGUCUGGUGCCAGCAGCCGCGGUAAUUCCAGCUCCAAUAGCGUAUAUUAAAUUUGCUGCAGUUAAAGCGUCCGUAGUUGAGUUUCGAGUGUCUGCUUCCUAUAUGUCAGCUAUGCUCACGUUUUGGUUGCUAACACUUUUUGUUGACGGCUUACCGUCUGACUAACGUUACUUUGAGUAAAUUGGAGUGCUCCAAGCAAGCUACAGCUUGAACUACUCAGCAUGGAAUAACGAGAUAGGACCUUAGUUCGACUUGUUGGCUUCUAGAGCUUUGUGUAAUGAUUGAUAAGGGCAUUCGGGGGCAUUUGUACUUGCUGGAGAGAGGUGAAAUUCUAAGACCCAGCAAAGACAAACAAGUGCGAAAGCAUUUGCCUAGUGUGUUCCUGUUAAUCAAGGACGAAAGUUGGGGGAUCGAAGACGAUUAGAUACCGUCGUAGUCCCAACUAUAAACGAUGCCGACUGAGGAUCGGUGGAGAGAUUAUAUAUCUCCCUCGGAACUCUAAGAGAAAUCUAAGUCUUUGGGCCCUGGGGGGAGUAUGGUCGCAAGGCUGAAACUUAAAGGAAUUGACGGAAGGGCACCACCAGGAGUGGAGCCUGCGGCUUAAUUCGACUCAACGCGGGGAACCUCACCAGGCCCGGACAUAGUCAUGAUUGACAGAUGAAGAGAUCUUUCUCGAUUCUAUGGGUGGUGGUGCAUGGCCGUUCUUAGUCGGUGAGGUGACUUGUCUGGUUAGUUCCGAUAACGGACGAGACCUUGACCUACUAAAUAGCAUGUUGUGAAUUCACAAUUAAUGCUUCUUAGAGGGACAUUGAGAGUUCAUCUCAAGGAAGUUCGAGCCUAUAACAGGUCUGUGAUGCCCUUAGAUGGCCUGGGCUGCACGUGCGCUACAAUGACAUGAUCAGCGAGUCUACCUGCUCCGAAGGGAGUGGGUAAUCUUGUUAAAUCUUGUCGUGAUAGGGAUUGACCAUUGCAAUUGUUGGUCAUG
rnacentral:rRNA from 1 species